rnacentral:tRNA from 2 species
GGGGCUAUAGCUCAGUUGGUAGAGCGCUGCAAUCGCACUGCAGAGGUCAGCGGUUCGAAUCCGCUUAGCUCCACAA